AAUCCAUGAUGAGGACACUUGAGUAGUAACUCCUUGAAACGCUCCCAUGUCUCGUAGAACGAAUCUCCCUCCUUUUGGCGAAACUCUUGGAUCAUGCUCCUCAGACG
rfam:Helianthus annuus linkage group 2, whole genome shotgun sequence.